AGGCCCCAGUGGGCGAUGACAACGUUAGACCGAGGAAAUGCAUGAUUCAGAAGGUGAUUGGUUCACCCAACCGCUUCGUGUAUAUCAAUCAGAAUGCAUGAUUAAUAAUGACGAACAUACAUCACCCAGAACACCUACGUAUCCCUUCACACCUUCCUCCUCCAACUCUCCACCGUUGUGAUCUAAGCCCCUUUUCUGUCUUUCGACGAUUUGUCAGUCACCACUGCCGGAGUCACAGUUGCCUUCUGCUCGAUAGCGAUAGUAGGGGAAUCGAGGAUGGCGGCGGAGCUGCCAUGUGGGCUGGUGGGUUCUCCUGCUAUUGCAGUUCUUCCCUUUCCUUUCAAGCUUACACAUCCAUCAUACUUGGACACGCUGCUCCAUCAAAACGAAAUCGAUGGUUGGAACAGGUUGUCUUAAACGACUGCUAAUCCCGUGAGAGCGGAGGAGGAUCGAACCCGAUGCUGCUGCAGCUCGGAAGUCGACGGAGACUGCCUUCGUCCGUGCCACGAAAGAAAGAAAGUCGAUUCGAUCCACCUCGGGCAGGCAUCCACGAUUUGGAGUCGAUGCAGAUAGGCAAUAUACAAUUAUCUGCGCUUCAACUGUUUGUCAAUAUAGCACUGAGAGUUCCUAUUCUAGUUUCCUUUUACUA